ACUUCUUUAUCACCGAGUGCUUGCACUCACCGAUAAAGAGUUGAGUGGCGAACGGGUGAGUAACACGUGGGCAACCUGCCCAAAAGAGGGGGAUAACACUUGGAAACAGGUGCUAAUACCGCAUAACCAUAGUUACCGCAUGGUAACUAUGUAAAAGGUGGCUAUGCUACCGCUUUUGGAUGGGCCCGCGGCGCAUUAGCUAGUUGGUGGGGUAAAGGCUUACCAAGGCAAUGAUGCGUAGCCGAACUGAGAGGUUGAUCGGCCACAUUGGGACUGAGACACGGCCCAAACUCCUACGGGAGGCAGCAGUAGGGAAUCUUCCACAAUGGGCGAAAGCCUGAUGGAGCAACGCCGCGUGGGUGAAGAAGGUCUUCGGAUCGUAAAACCCUGUUGUUAGAGAAGAAAGUGCGUGAGAGUAACUGUUCACGUUUCGACGGUAUCUAACCAGAAAGCCACGGCUAACUACGUGCCAGCAGCCGCGGUAAUACGUAGGUGGCAAGCGUUAUCCGGAUUUAUUGGGCGUAAAGGGAACGCAGGCGGUCUUUUAAGUCUGAUGUGAAAGCCUUCGGCUUAACCGGAGUAGUGCAUUGGAAACUGGGAGACUUGAGUGCAGAAGAGGAGAGUGGAACUCCAUGUGUAGCGGUGAAAUGCGCAGAUAUAUGGAAGAACACCAGUGGCGAAAGCGGCUCUCUGGUCUGUAACUGA
rnacentral:rRNA from 1 species